AUGCAGGGAGGCAAUGUGCUAGGAGGAGAACUCUUUUUCCAUGUGAUCCAGAAGGUUUGUCACAGAUGCUCUGAGCUCUCUUCGGCCCUUCACCCCAACAAAGCCAGGUCCCCAUGGGAGCAGCGCUCACCACGUGAAAACCUGGACCUUCCACAGCUCAUGCUUGGACAAGAAAACCAGCAAAAAAACAGAAACCACAUCCCUGCUGGGCGCUCCACCAGCAGGUGCAGGGAGCAGUGGGAUGGCCGGGUUGCUGGGUGCCAUGGGUGUGGGAACCCUCACCGGAGAUACCGCCAGGUUUCUGUUUUCACCGACACACAUCCUGGAUAAGAAAAUGCUCCAAAGGACCUCCACCAUCAAUGGGUCUGCAGCAGCAGCUCUUCCAGGGGUGGCUGGCAUGGAUGCCUGGAGGAGAUGGGAUGGGAUGGGAUGGGAUGGGAUGGGAUGGGAUGGGAUGGGAUGGGAUGGGAUGGGAUGGGAUGGGAUGGGAUGGGGUGGGGUGGGGUGGGGUGGGGUGGGGUAGGGUAGGGUGGGAUGGGGUGGGAUGGGGUGGGGUGGGAUGGGAUGGGAUGGGGUGGGAUGGAGUGGGGUGAGAUUGGGUGAGAUGGGAUGGGAUGAGAUGUAGUAUGACAGGGUGAGAUGGGGUGGGUGGAAUAGGACAGGAUGGAAUGAGAUAAAAUGGGGACUGGAGCACCUCCCCUAUGAAGACAGGCUGAGGGAGCUGGGCUUGUUCAGCCUGGAGAAAAGAAGGCUGCGGGGUGACCUCAUGGCAGCCUUCAGUACCUAAAGGGAGCCUACAAACAGGAGGGAAAUCAACUCUUUGAAAGGGUUGAUAAGUGCAGGACGAGGGGAAAUGGUUUGAAGUUGAGGGAGGGGAGAUUUAGAUUGGACGUCAGGGGGAAAUUGUUUACAGAGAGAGUGGUGAAGUGCUGGAACAGCUGCCCAGAGAGGUUGUGGAUGCCUCAUCCCUGGAGGUGUUCAAGGCCAAAUUGGAUGGAGUGCUGGGCAGUCU
rnacentral:lncRNA from 1 species